UACGGAGGGGGCUAGCGUUGUUCGGAAUUACUGGGCGUAAAGCGCGCGUAGGCGGACCUGCAAGUCGGGGGUGAAAGCCCGAGGCUCAACCUCGGAACUGCCUUCGAUACUGCGGGUCUCGAGUCCGGGAGAGGUGAGUGGAAUUCCAGGUGUAGCGGUGAAAUGCGUAGAUAUCUGGAGGAACACCGGUGGCGAAGGCGACAUCCUGGACCGGUAUUGACGCUGAGGCGCGAAAGCCAGGGGAGCAAACGGG
rnacentral:rRNA from 1 species